rnacentral:rRNA from 1 species
UACAGAGGGGGGCAAGCGUUGUUCGGAAUUACUGGGCGUAAAGGGCGCGUAGGCGGCCUUCUAAGUCGAACGUGAAAUCCCCGGGCUCAACCCGGGAACUGCGUCCGAUACUGGAAGGCUUGAAUCCGGGAGAGGGAUGCGGAAUUCCAGGUGUAGCGGUGAAAUGCGUAGAUAUCUGGAGGAACACCGGUGGCGAAGGCGGCAUCCUGGGACCGGCAUUGAUGCUGAGGCGCGAAAGCCAGGGGAGCAAAGCGGG